rnacentral:lncRNA from 1 species
GCCUUUUGGCUAAGAUCAAGUGUAGUAUCUGUUCUUAUCAGUUUAAUAUCUGGUACACUGGAAAUCCAGUUACGAUAUUAAAUGAAUUUUUCCGGGGAGCAUCCCAAAAAGUUGUGCUAGCACAGCAGGGAGCGCGAAUGGCCAGUGGUUGGCACUAUAUCACUGGACGUUCACCCCUUCACCAUAAAUUCGCAACUGUCAUAUCUACUAAACUAUGAUAUCAUAUCAUCACAACUAUUUUUAUUACUGGACAUAUAUUGUUUGAUAGAUACUUUCUUCAGUUUUCCAUCUGAAAAGAAAAUAUGCAUCCAUCACGCAUGUCCUCCAUGAAAAUUAAACGCAACACGCGUGGUUUCACCUUAUUAGUAUCUCGUACGAAGGUAGCUAAUAAGCUAGAUUCUCAUUAUGCCGAAACUUUGAAGAAUAAUGAAGAUGAAGCUCCAAAAAAAAAUAAAGAAAGCGGCGGGUUGAACCAAGCAAAUAAAGCUGGAUGAUCAUCGGUUUUUGUAUAUGAAGGGACGAAGAUAUGUAUGUGUUGUAGCUAGCUACUACUAGUAGCUAGCUACUAGCUAGCUAGCUAGAUAUAUGUAUGUGUUGUAGCUAGCUACUACUAGUAGCUAGCUAGCUACUAGCUAGCUAGCUAGAUAUAUGUAUGUGUUGUAGCUAGCUAGCUAGCUAGCUACUAGCUAGCUAAGCUAGCUAGCUACUUAGCUAGCUAGUAGCUAGCUAGCUAGCUAGCUAGUAGCUACUACUAGAUAGAUAGAUAGCUAGCUACACCCGUUCGUGUGCCGUGUGUGUACUGCCAAGUCUCAAAAGUUUAUCCACCAUGCUUUUUAAAAUAUAAACCGCGGAUCGAUGGAGUAUCCGUAGACUACAAAUUCUCAACUAACAACCAUGUGGUUUAGUCACUGUUCAGUCUACCUGCAUAUUUAAGUCACAUUCAUAUGUGAGUGAAGCUAUCUAUCUAUCCACGAUCUACGUAUUCCAAUGUAAGGUUAUGCAUUAGAAGGUACUAUUAAAUAUACGUACAUAUUUAUAUAUGCCUUCGUAUCUAUCUUUAUUCGAUAUGGAUAUUCAUACGAACGAAGGUAAAAAUAUAAAUAAACGUUACGGAACGUACGAAACUUAUUACACGAAUGAAGGUAAGAGGUAUGUACUGCUGUGAUAACUUAAUGGUCUGUUGUUGUAUGUGUGGUUGGUGCGGCUGAUAUUGUUCACUUAGAUUUGGCUCGGCGGCGGCGGCGGCGUGAGAGCAUGACACUAUGUAACGACAGAGGGGAAUGUCCCCAAGCUGAUCACAGCACAUGGGCAUCAUUGGGACUGGACCGUCGAAUCCUGAAGGCGUUAAAACGGAAGCAAUAUAACGCCCCAACAGCUGUACAGGCUCAGGCGAUUCCGCUCGUUUUGUCGGGAAAAGACGUCGUGGUUCGAGCACACACUGGGAGCGGAAAGACGGCGGCGUACCUCUUGCCCGUCGCACACAUAGUUAUGCAGAAUCACGCACACGGUGCCCUGCCGAACCCUAGAGCGAUCGUCCUCGUCCCUACUCGAGAGCUGGCCAAUCAGGUGACGAAAGAAGCAAGUUCAAUUCUAUGCCAG